AUUGAACGCUGGCGGCAUGCCUUACACAUGCAAGUCGAACGGUAACAGGUCUUCGGAUGCUGACGAGUGGCGAACGGGUGAGUAAUACAUCGGAACGUGCCUAGUAGUGGGGGAUAACUACUCGAAGGAGUGGCUAAUACCGCAUGAGAUCUACGGAUGAAAGCAGGGGAUCGCAAGACCUUGUGCUACUAGAGCGGCCGAUGGCAGAUUAGGUAGUUGGUGGGAUAAAAGCUUGCCAAGCCGACGAUCUGUAGCUGGUCUGAGAGGACGAUCAGCCACACUGGGACUGAGACACGGCCCAGACUCCUACGGGAGGCAGCAGUGGGGAAUUUUGGACAAUGGGCGCAAGCCUGAUCCAGCAAUGCCGCGUGCAGGAUGAAGGCCUUCGGGUUGUAAACUGCUUUUGUACGGAACGAAAAGCCUUGGGUUAAUACCCUGGGGUCAUGACGGUACCGUAAGGAUAAGCACCGGCUAACUACGUGCCAGCCGCCGCAGUAACAC
rnacentral:rRNA from 1 species